CGUAGGGUGCGAGCGUUAAUCGGAAUUACUGGGCGUAAAGCGAGCGCAGACGGUUGCUUAAGCAGGAUGUGAAAUCCCCGGGCUCAACCUGGGAACUGCGUUCUGAACUGGGUAGCUAGAGUAUGUCAGAGGGGGUAGAAUUCCACGUGUAGCAGUGAAAUGCGUAGAGAUGUGGAGGAAUACCGAUGGCGAAGGCAGCCCCCUGGGAUAAUACUGACGUUCAUGCUCGAAAGCGUGGGUAGCAAACAGGAUU
rnacentral:rRNA from 1 species